rnacentral:lncRNA from 1 species
AUGGUUUCCCAGUAAUCAAAAUCCUAAACUAAACAUCUGUCAGAAACACAUGGAGGUGGAUAAUGAAAAGCAAACUUUGCACUUUGUAUAGGAAGUGCACAGCACAGAAGAAGCUGCCAAUUUCUGGGGUGAAGAGUGACAGGGUUGUAUGGUCUGAAUCAGUAGAAAGGACAUACAAGUGUUUCCCAUGAAGCAGAGGUGUCUUGAUGCACAGCAGAGGGUACCUGCUGGUGAGUAAAGAGAAUUGUUGUAGACCAAUGAGAGCUGGAGAAAGGAUGCACAAGUCUAUUGGUAGAUGCCAGAUUGAAUGUUUUCAACUUGGUGUGUGUAGAGAAGAAUAUUUAUUAUAUCUCUGGACUGACAGGUACUACUGUAUCUCAGCAGCUGGAGAUCAGAGGAGCUAGCAAAAUCUGAAAUCUUUUCAACCUCUCUAUAGAAGAUGAUGCCCACCAAUAUGUAUUCAAAGAGCCCUUAAACAAGAAACAUUUUUUAAAAAAAAAAAAAAAAAACAUGGACCGAAGCACCCAAGAUUCAGAGUAUCCUACAACACAAAUGCUAAUGUGUUGCUCUGACGAAGGGGGGCACUAAGACAAGCAAGGAGGAAGCUGCAGAAUACAUUAAACUUUUGGCCAAGAAAAUGAAGGAAGCCAGAGAAAACUGCCGGGAAUAGAUUGUGGGGAAACAUAGGCUGGCCUCCCUAAGAGCUUCUACUUCUGAGUGGGAUUCCUGUCAAGAUUAA